GUGGAUUUGAUCUUGCAACCUUUUGGUUACUAGUCCAACGCUCUAACCACUAGGCUACCCUGCCGCCCCAUUUAUCUGAAUAGUGCUUCCAAUAACCCUCUAUAUUAAGAAAUAAUCUAAAGAUUAUCUAUGAAAUGCAUUUCCGUCAAUGUAUUCUCAGCUUUUGGGUAGACUUUGUUUUACCAACCUCAGAAUAUAUCAUUAAUCCCAAAGAUUCAGAUCAGGUAAGUGUGCUUAACAAAUUAUAUUAGGCCUACACAAGACACCAUGCCCCCCAAAACAAUUAUAUUAGGCCUACACAAGACACCAUGCCCCCCAAAACAAUUAUAUUAGGCCUACACAAGACACCAUGCCCCCCAAAACAAUUAUAUUAGGCCUACACAAGACACCAUGCCCCCAAAACAAUUAUAUUAGGCCUACACAAGACACCAUGCCCCCCAAAACAAUUAUAUUAGGCCUACACAAGACACCAUGCCCCCCAAAACAAUUAUAUUAGGCCUACACAAGACACCAUGCCCCCCAAAACAAUGACAUUACAAACCCUGCAACAACAACAAAAAAUGAUGAGGCCUCUGCAAAGUAAGGUGGAAUGAUAUUGAAACCAAUUCCAGACAUGAAACAGAGAACAGAUGUUCAAAAUGAAAAAGUGACUAACGUGAACACAGCAUGUGAUAACCCUAAGAUAUUUCAUUAUGUUAACAUACAUAGUUAUAUAGAUAUUAUAUUCAUCAAGAGCUUUUUCUAUUUGUUUAUUGUUUGGGGUAAAUGUCUUCUGAGAAUACAUUGGAAAUGAAUCCCUAAUCAUUACAUGAAAGGCUUCAAAUUGCAGAGUGUGUGUGUGUGUGUGUGUGUGUGUGUGUGUGUAUUAUACUGUGUGCUCCUCUGUUGGCUGCUGUCAUCUUGAUGAGAUGUCCCACCUUGCUGCAGAUUGAAAGGGUUCUCUCUGGCUUCCUCCCUCUCUCUGGAGUCAUCCCUCUCUCUCACACGCUCUCUCACGCUUAUGCUCAUGAAACACUCAUCAUUUCUUUGACUGAAGAAGAACAUGAAGCAACAAUGAUGUGUUUAAUCUGAUGAUGGCAAAGAGAGGUGCUCUGUAUGUGUGUGUUCUCUGUUGAUCUCCAUUGAUUUGAACAACAAAGGGGCACAAGCAAAAACAAACCUACGCCAUAUUGUUCCAGCAGUUGUGAAUAACAGUCUAACGAAGUGGCUGUAAGUUUCUAUUGUAGUGAUUAAUAACAGGCCAUACUGAUAGGCCUCUAUGCCAGUGCCAUGAUAUUUACUAAGGAUUUGCUAUUUGAUAUCGGUAGUGAUUUUCUACGUGAGUCAUUGAACACCUCGCAUUCUGAUAGCGGAUUAGAUGUCAGGUUGGAAGUUUAUUUAGGACCAGUAAAUGGAAGUCUUAUAAUGUUCAAUUGAUCUCAUCAUUCAAAAAUAGCUGUAUUGAUUUUGUUAUAAUGCAGGCCUACUACAGUAGAUACUUCCGGCCACAUUACAAGAGGAGGCUUGUUGUCCCCUUUGACAAUAGUUGAUUUAAAUAGAAUUCCCACACUAACAUGAUUAGUCUCAACAUUAACACCAUGAUUAGUCAAUUUGUAGACAAAUACUAGGGAGAAAAGCUUGUCCUGCAUAUAUUGAGGCAGACUGGACAUCUGUAGACUACUGGUUGUAAGGUUGUGUGGCACUGUAUUUGGUAACAUUGUUUAUUAAGAUGAUAGAAUUCUGUGAUAUUUUAGUAUUUUUUUAGAUUGAAAGCUUUUGUCCUCCAUUACAAAACCUACUGUAUGUUUGUCCACUCACUCUUCACAUUCAAUACUUUGCCAUAAUAUGAGUGCAUCAUUUGUUUAUACUUCGUCUGCAGGUGUGUGUGUAUCCCAGCCUAGCCGCUACUACUCUUCACUGAGUGGGUCCGGGAUGGCCCGAGGGGUUGGCUGUUAUCUUUGGUUAUCUAGCUGUAUGAGUGGUGUACAUUCUUCAUAAAGCUAGAUAACCGAAAGUAACAAGAAUCCCAUUACGCUCCUGCGCGGCCGGUCUCUUGUGCCAACCAAAAAAACACGAAAUGGGCGACGCUCGCGAGGAAGUAACUGUCGUUUGUGCCCAGCCGACCAAUCAGAAGACUUAAAGGUGACCCAUCACAUUGAAGUUAUGUCACAGCCAGUCCACCACCUUCCGACGGCCACCCCACCUCACCAAUGGUGAGGUCCAUUUCCGAACGUAGUGGUGCCCACCUGACCUAAAUGGAACCGGAUUGGCUCCUCUUCCAUUUUUCUCUGCCCCAGUAUUUAAACCUGAAGCCCUUUGUGGACGUUGAACGAUCUCCUUUUGGUUGGGGUGAACUUUAGGCACAUGCCUGGACAUGCCUGACAAACUGAAAAUGGGGUAAUGUACUGUUGGGUCAUGGAUACCAGUGGAUACCCAACCACAGCUGCCUCUGUGGGCUUCAUCCCCAGACCGUCUUUGGAUACACCAAUCAAAGGACAAGUUGAAAUGGACCACUGUGAACUAGUGUGUCUCUGUCCUCCUACAACUAACUGACUGGAUACAUGGACAGAAAUGGAGGGUGUGAGAUGUGUGUGUUCUGUGUUGUGAUGGUACACUGUCUUCUCUGAGACGACUCUACACACAGCUGUGUCCGUCACAUCUGCAAUACAUUCGACACGGGUCAGCAUGCUGAUCUGUUCAUGUGUGCUGUGCUUGUUUGUGUAUAUGUGCUUGUUUGUCUAAGCGCAUACACUUUGAGUCACCCUCACUCAGAGCAAGUUCUGUUCUGGGAUUGUAAGCAACACACGCACACACAUCACAAAUCAUAGUAAAUGUCUUUUAACCUCCUUAUGGUUAACGGACAUAGGAUUUAUCAUGUGCUUAUGCUACCUGGCAAAAAUAAUAUUUGCAACUGGAGGAGGUUGUAUGGUUUAGUAGUAGAAUCGCACUGCAGCACUGAUUUUAUUAUCAAGGGGAGGAUACAACUGGUAAAUAAGUAUCUUAUAUUGGACAGCCCACAUAGUAUUCAGAUCAUUUAUGUAUAGAUAGAACACGUACAAUUAAUUAAAAUAAAACAUAGAAAUGUGCUAAUUGAGUGAUUUAAACAAUUGUAGUAUAGAAAUCAGAGUAGGACGAUAAUUUAUGUGUUAUUUAGUUUACAUAAUGGAUAUGAAUACUAGUUUAGUUAGAAUUUCUCAAAUUAUUUUCAAAAUGUGAAAAUGUGUGUAUUUUUUGUUGUUGUGUAUAUUAUUUCUAUGCAUCUUUUGAAACCUAUGCAAAUGAAUCCACAAAGUAGAUAUUUUAGAAUUUGCUAAUGACGAUCAUUCAAUUUCUCAGAGGGUUUAGAUUUUUCCCCAGACAAUCUGUUGUAUACUGUAGGGUGAUGUGAGAGAUUAGAAAUGAAAGUGCAAUACAGGAACGUUUCUGAGCCCUGCUCCAGACAGCAAAAUAUGUUGGGAUUUUACAGCGUUUUUCUCAACUGAUUUGGAUUUUUAGAUAUUUUUUAGAAGUGUAUCAAUAUCAAAAUAUAAACAUUGGAAUGUUUAAUUUGCUUAACUGUCUGAGUCUUAAAUUAACGGAUUGACUAGAAAGUUGCAUAUACAGUUUUCCAAACAAUUAUUUUGGGAUUUCAUGUGAACAUUUUUACUCUAUGCAACUUUUAUACUUUGUAACUUUUUGUAAUAAAUAAUAUGACUAUCAUUCGGAGCAACUGCAAUUCAUAUUUGUUUCACUGUUUAAGACUUCAUUUGAGAAACUAUGCAAUGGCUGUAUACUAAAUGUGUUUGAUAGUGUGAUGUACUGUACGGUUUUACAACAAUGUGUACUCUACAUGAACAACAAAUGUGUACUCUUUGAGCAUAGUAUGUAAUAGCCUGUAAAUAUACUGUACGUUAUCAAGACCGCACUAUAUGUAGUUGGUUAUGGGCAAUUUGUUGUGGGGAAUGUGCAAUCAGAGUGCAUGUGUGCACUACAUGAGUUUAAACUGUAAACAGUCAGGGUGAAGUGUGUGUAGAAUGAUGCAUCAUGUAGAAAGCAAGAGUACAAUAGAUGGAAUGUGUGCAAUGUGUGUGGAGGCAUGCACUACGCUGAGGGUGAGUGCAAUGUUUUAAUGACAAUGUUGGAUUUUAAAGAGAUGUUUGCAUGAGUGCACUAUGGCCCACAAGAUCAUAGACUAUGUUAGGCAUGUUUGCAAAUGACCUGUGAAUCCUGACUGUAGGGGACUGACUCGUUCUUGUACCAUGGACUCUGUACGAUUAAGUCAACACAAUAAAUGUUUACAUUUAAAAAAAAUAAAAACACAUGUCUGUCUGGAA